rnacentral:rRNA from 1 species
UACGAAGGGGGCUAGCGUUGUUCGGAAUCACUGGGCGUAAAGCGCACGUAGGCGGACUUUCAAGUCAGGGGUGAAAUCCCGGGGCUCAACCUCGGAACUGCCUUUGAUACUGUUGGUCUCGAAUCCGGUAGAGGUGGGUGGAAUUCCUAGUGUAGAGGUGAAAUUCGUAGAUAUUAGGAAGAACACCGGUGGCGAAGGCGGCCCACUGGACCGGUAUUGACGCUGAGGUGCG